rnacentral:rRNA from 1 species
GACGAACGCUGGCGGCGUGCUUAACACAUGCAAGUCGAACGGAGUGGCGAACGGUUGAGUAACACGUGGGUGAUCUGCCUUGCACUCUGGGAUAAGCUUGGGAAACUCGGUCUAAUACCGGAUAGUGCAAGAUGAGCUCGCGGCCUAUGAGCUUGUUGGUGUGGUAAUGGCCUACCAAGGCGUCGACGGGUGGCCGGCCUGGGAGGGUGUACGGCCACAGUGGGACUGAGAUACGGCGCAGACUCCGACGUGAGGCAGCAGUGGGGAAUAUUGCACCAUGGGCGGAAGCCUGAUGCAGCGACGCCGCGUGGGGGAGGACGGCCUUCGGGUUGUAAACUCCUUUCGGCAGGGACGCGAUACCUGUAGAAGAAGCACCGGCUAACUACGUGCCAGCAGCCGCGGUAAUUC